AACGAACGCUGGCGGCAGGCCUAACACAUGCAAGUCGAGCGAGGACUUCGGUCCUAGCGGCGGACGGGUGAGUAACACGUGGGAACGUGCCCUUUGCUUCGGAAUAGCCCUGGGAAACUGGGAGUAAUACCGGAUGAGCCCUUUGGGGGAAAGAUUUAUCGGCGAAGGAUCGGCCCGCGUUGGAUUAGGUAGUUGGUGGGGUAAUGGCCUACCAAGCCGACGAUCCAUAGCUGGUUUGAGAGGAUGAUCAGCCACACUGGGACUGAGACACGGCCCAGACUCCUACGGGAGGCAGCAGUGGGGAAUCUUAGACAAUGGGGGAAACCCUGAUCGAGCCAUGCCGCGUGAGCGAUGAAGGCCUUAGGGUUGUAAAGCUCUUUCAGCUGGGAAGAUAAUGACGGUACCAGCAGAAGAAGCCCCGGCUAACUCCGUG
rnacentral:rRNA from 1 species